UCACUAUCCGCCCGGGUACUACGAGCUUUAGCUUAAAACCCAAAGGACUUGGCGGUGCUUAAGAUCCACCUAGAGGAGCCUGUUCUAUAACCGAUAACCCCCGUUUAACCUCACCCUUUCUUGUUUAACCCGCCUAUAUACCGCCGUCGUCAGCUCACCCUGUGAAGGCCCUGUAGUAAGCUUAAUUGGCACGACCCAAAACGCCAGGUCGAGGUGUAGCGUAUGAAAGUGGAAGAAAUGGGCUACAUUUCCUAAACAGGAAAUACGAACAAUAAACUAAAAUAUUUAUUAGAAGGAGGAUUUAGCAGUAAAUGAGAAACAGAG
rnacentral:rRNA from 1 species